CGGGGAGAGGCGCGGCGGGAGCUGGGGUGGCUGCGGCGGGGCGGGUGCUGGAGUGAGGACCGGACCGAGCUGCCCCCGCGUCGGUGCCCCUAGAUAAUUCCUGUGGAGUCGCCACCGCAGAGGACACCAGCUUCCCCCCGCGCCGGCCCGUGUUUGAGUCGGGGCUCCGACACCUCCGGUUCCAUGAACCUCUCCGGGCGCCACGAGCGCGUCCAGGGGCGUCCCUAGUCGGGCGAGGUGCCCGGGCUGCACCCGCAGGGCUGGUCGUACUGGGGCACACAGAGAAACGCUGUGGCUUCCAAGCUGGGAGCCUGAGAUCGGGAUGCCAGCAUGGUCACAUUCUUGAAAGAAACUUGGGACCACAAAAACAUAGAAACCUAGAACUUUCUAGAAAAGACUUUCACAAUCACUUUGUCAUAACCCAGGGGACAAUGG